AUCAUGCAGUCGAGCGACAGACGAGGAGCUUGCUCCUCUGACGUUAGCGGCGGACGGGUGAGUAACACGUGGAUAACCUACCUAUAAGACUGGGAUAACUUCGGGAAACCGGAGCUAAUACCGGAUAACAUGUUGAACCGCAUGGUUCAACAGUGAAAGACGGUCUUGCUGUCACUUAUAGAUGGAUCCGCGCCGCAUUAGCUAGUUGGUAAGGUAACGGCUUACCAAGGCAACGAUGCGUAGCCGACCUGAGAGGGUGAUCGGCCACACUGGAACUGAGACACGGUCCAGACUCCUACGGGAGGCAGCAGUAGGGAAUCUUCCGCAAUGGGCGAAAGCCUGACGGAGCAACGCCGCGUGAGUGAAGAAGGUCUUCGGAUCGUAAAACUCUGUUAUUAGGGAAGAACAAAUGUGUAAGUAACUAUGCACGUCUUGACGGUACCUAAUCAGAAAGCCACGGCUAACUACGUGCCAGCAGCCGCGGUAAUACGUAGGUGGCAAGCGUUAUCCGGAAUUAUUGGGCGUAAAGCGCGCGUAGGCGGUUUUUUAAGUCUGAUGUGAAAGCCCACGGCUCAACCGUGGAGGGUCAUUGGAAACUGGAAAACUUGAGUGCAGAAGAGGAAAGUGGAAUUCCAUGUGUAGCGGUGAAAUGCGUAGAA
rnacentral:rRNA from 1 species